UCCCAAAGUACCCUGAGAUAUUAUGUGGGUUGUCUAUGGGGCGUGYCCUAUUGGGUGCUGAUGUUAUCUCUCCAUCGCCUACCCCAGAAACUCCAUCGUGUCAAGAAAAGAUAAGCAUUCAGCCACUGUAAAGUAGUGCGACCGUCAAGAAUGGGGGGGAUUGUAGUUAUCUUCAUUCUUGCAAGAAGUAGAAAAGUGUUCACAGAUUGSGACUUGAAAUCUCCCUAUAAUUACGAAAGCGCCCUGCUAGCUCAAAGUCGAGUUUCCCUGCAACCACAAGAAGCCACUUCCUGACAUCCAAAUUGGUGGGUUUUGGGGAAGUAGGACCGAAAAGUGAAAUAGAGCUAGAGGCUUCUCCUUCUUGUGUGGUUACUCUGAAAGCAUUAUUCAGAGAAGAGGAGUCGCCUGACCAAAGAAAUGCACAAAAUGGAUCUUCCAAAGAAAAGCCGAUUCUAUCCAGAGAGGUCAGCUAUACAUACAAAAAGAGCUCGCAUGACGAAUUUGAAUUCUCAGACUCCCAUUUUCCAAGUUCAUGGUGAAAUCACUGAAAUGGAUGUCAAUUCCUCAAAGGACUUCAGUUUGAAUGGAGAUUAACAGAGUCUGUUGUAGCAGGUCACAAUGAACGCCCAUGUUUCAUUUGUUUUCAGCUAUGGUGGUUGGAUGCUUCAUCUUUUCUUGACCAGAGUUUCAGGGGUCAGAGAUUGAAAGAGGACGAUCAAUGGGUUAUUCAAAUUAAACGUUCUUUUAGAGUUAUUUUAGUAGAAUUGUAUGCAAAAUCAUAUGCAAAAGGAUAAAAUGGAUAUUUUAGAAAAAAUAGUGCAUCAAUCAAACUUUUUGUCUAUGUCA